UGCAGCCAGGCACUGUCCGUCCUGGGACCUACACGGCUGCCACGGAAGCUCCGACCACACCAGCUCCUUGGACACUGCCCGUCUGCCCAGAGAGAGUCUCAUGCUCAGAGAGGCUAUAAAUAUAUGCCGGACAGUCAAGAGUUUCCGUCGCCAACCAGAAGAGCUGAGCAAAAGGUGAAAUAAACAUCCAGUGGCUGCAAAUUAA
rnacentral:antisense_RNA from 1 species